UACGUAGGGUACAAGCGUUGUCCGGAAUUAUUGGGCGUAAAGAGCGCGCAGGCGGUCUGCCAAGUCAGAUGUGAAAGAGGCCGGCUUAACCGGCAAGGGUCAUUUGAAACUGACAGACUAGAGUGCAGCAGGGGAUAGCGGAAUUCCCGGUGUAGUGGUGAAAUGCGUAGAUAUCGGGAGGAACACCAGUGGCGAAGGCGGCUAUCUGGGCUGCAACUGACGCUGAGGCGCGAAGGCUAGGGUAGCAAACAGG
rnacentral:rRNA from 1 species